rnacentral:rRNA from 1 species
AUUGAACGCUGGCGGCAGGCCUAACACAUGCAAGUCGAGCGGAUGAAGGGAGCUUGCUCCUGGAUUCAGCGGCGGACGGGUGAGUAAUGCCUAGGAAUCUGCCUGGUAGUGGGGGAUAACGUCCGGAAACGGGCGCUAAUACCGCAUACGUCCUGAGGGAGAAAGUGGGGGAUCUUCGGACCUCACGCUAUCAGAUGAGCCUAGGUCGGAUUAGCUAGUUGGUGGGGUAAAGGCCUACCAAGGCGACGAUCCGUAACUGGUCUGAGAGGAUGAUCAGCCACACUGGAACUGAAACACGGUCCAGACUCCUACGGGAGGCAGCAGUGGGGAAUAUUGGACAAUGGGCGAAAGCCUGAUCCAGCCAUGCCGCGUGUGUGAAGAAGGUCUUCGGAUUGUAAAGCACUUUAAGUUGGGAGGAAGGGCAGUAAGUUAAUACCUUGCUGUUUUGACGUUACCAACAGAAUAAGCACCGGCUAACUUCGUG